rnacentral:lncRNA from 1 species
UUCCUUCCUUCCUUCCUUCCUCCUUCCUUCCUUCCUUCCUCCCUCCCUUCCGUCCUUCCUUCCUCCCUCCCUUCCUCCUUCCUUCCUUCCGUCCUUCCUUCCUUCCUUCCUUCCUUCCUUCCUGCUCCCUCCCUUCCUCCUUCCUUCUUCCUUCCUUCCUUCCUCCUUCCUUCCUCCCUCCCUCCCUCCCUCCUUCCUUCCUUCCUUCCUCCUUCCUCCUUCCUCCCUCCCUUCUUCCUUCCUUCCUUCCUUCUUCCUUCCUUCCUUCGCUUCCUUCCUUCCUCCUCCCUUCCGUCCUUCCUUCCUUCCUUCCUUCUUCCUUCCUUCCUUCUUCCUUCCUCCCUUCCUCCUUCCUUCUUCCGUCCUUCCUUCCUUCCUUCCUUCCUGCCUUCCUUCCUCCUCCCUUUCUUUCCUUCCUUCCUUCCUUCCUUCCUUCCUUCCUUCCUUCCUUCCUUCCUUCCUUCCUUCCUCCCUCCCUCCCUCCCUUCCUUCCUUCCUUCCUCCUUCCUUCCUCCUCCCUCCCUUUCUUUCUCUUCCUUCCUUCCUUCUUCCUUCCUUCCUUCUUCCUUCCUUCCUCCCUCCCUCCCGCCCUCCCUCCCUUCCUUCCUUCUUCCUUCCUUCCUUCCUUCCUUCCUUCCUCCUUCCUUCCUUCCUCCUCCCUUCCUUCUUCCUUCCUCCUUCCUCCCUCCCUCCCUCCUUCCUUCCUUCUUCCUUCCUCCUUCCUUCCUUCCUCCCUCCCUUUCUUUCCCUUCCUUCUUCCUUCCUUCCUUCCUUCCUUCCUUCCUUCCUUCCUUCCUCCUCCCUCCCUCCCUUCCUUCCUUCCUCCCUCCCUUCCUUCCUUCCUUCCUUCCUUCCUUCCUUCCUUCCUCCUUCCUUCCUUCCUUCCUCCCUCCCUCCUUCCUCCUCCUUCCUUCCUUCCUCCCUCCCUUUCUUUCUCUUCCUUCUUCCUUCCUUCUUCCUUCCUUCCCUUCCUUCCUUCUCCUCCCUUCCUUCCUCCUCCCUUUCUUUCUCUUCCUUCCUUCCUCCUUCCUUCCUUCCUUCCUUCCUUCCUUCCUCCUUCCUUCCUUCCUCCCUCCUUUCCUUCCUUCCUUCUUCCUUCCUUCCUUCCUUCUUCCUUCUUCCUUCUCCUCCCUUCCUUCCUUCCUCCCUCCCUUUCUUUCCCUUCCUUCCUUCCUCCUCCCUCCCUCCUUCCUUCUUCCUUCCUCCUUCCUUCCUUCCUCCCUCCCUUUCUUCUCCUCCCUUCCUUCCUUCCUUCCUUCCUUCCUUCCUCCUCCCUCCCUCCCUCCCUCCUUCCUUCCUUCCUUCCUUCCUUCCUCCCUCCCUUCCUUCCUUCCUCCUUCCUUCCUUCCUUCCUUCCUUCCUUCCUUCCUCCCUCCCUUUCUUUCCCUUCCUUCCUUCCUUCCUUCCUUCCUUCCUUCCUUCCUUCCUUCCUUUCCCCCAAAGUCGUAUGGCUCCAUGGAUUGGAAGAGAACUUAAAUGUCUUUUUGUAGUCUUUCUAGGC